rnacentral:rRNA from 1 species
UACGUAGGGUGCAAGCGUUGUCCGGAAUUAUUGGGCGUAAAGAGCGUGUAGGCGGCCCGAUUAGUCCGCUGUGAAAGUUCAGGGCUCAACCCUGGAAUGCCGGUGGAUACUGUCGGGCUAGAGUCCGGAAGGGGCGAGUGGAAUUCCUGGUGUAGCGGUGAAAUGCGCAGAUAUCAGGAGGAACACCAAUGGCGAAGGCAGCUCGCUGGGACGUGACUGACGCUGAGACGCGAAAGCGUGGGGAGCAAACAGG